UGGUAUAUAUAGGUGUGCAAUUUGCCAGGUGGAUCAGCCACCUGGUGAUGGCUUGUCAGUUAACUCCGGGCCCUUUUUCUCACCUUCUUCAAAACCAUGGGAAGGUCCCUUUUUGUGCACAAACUGUCGGAAAAAGAAAGAUGCAAUGGAAGGUAAGAUUGGGACCAGACCCACAGCAGCAGUAUAAUCUGGUAACAUAAUGAAUAUUGAUAUUUUUUCUCUACCAGUGUGAGCGUGAUUUAAUUUUUUACAGGAGGAGUUUAUUUUGAUAGGUGUGUGAAAGAAAUUAAAUAGAAAUAGGAUGGGUAGGUUUUGCAAGUUCGUUUUAGUUCUGGCUUGUGUUCUUUGACUGUCUUAAAGCAGUAAUGCUACAUGAUAUAUAUGAUUGCAAGUAAAAAGUUAGGGACUACUGAGUGUCUUCCCUAUGAACCUUACUUGGGCUUUAAUAAAGCUCUUAGUUGCUUCCUUGAUCUCUAUCUGAUGAUACAGUGUGUCCUGUUAACUAGUCAACAGAUUCUAUUGUACACAUGCUUGGUUUUAAGAAUCAAAGAAGGGUUUACUUACAUAUUGUUCAUUUGUUAAAGAGAUGUCUAAUAUCCUUCGGCUGCCUCUCAUACAGACUAUUAAACUUAGGAUCAAGGACAUUAUAGGUCUGAACUGGAGGCCGAUUGUCCAUUUAGGCCAAGACUAUAUCUCCUUGGUUCUUCGAAUGUAGAAAGAUUAUAUUCUGAGAGGUACACAGUGCAACUUCUUGAAUGCUGUCAAUUAUUGGUCACAACUCACAACUAAACUAGAAUCAUAUAUCUUUUCGCCCAUUUGUUUAAUUUGGGAAUAUUACAGGGUGGAAAGUAGGUUCAAGUGAGCCAAUUUAAGCUUUCCAUACAUUUUGCUCAAAGCCAGCUUUGCAUCUGAGCUUCAUCAUUUUAGCUGGCAUAUGCAUUAUCCAGAGGAACCGAACCUUAACUAUUUGCAUGCCUACAAAGCAUAACAAUAUAGUUGAUCCUAAUCCCUAAUCUCCGUUAAAAAUUAGAAAAUAAAUAUACAAAGACACUAAAAAAAUAAUUUUUUUGCUAUUAAAUUAAACAUAUCAAAUAAUAAAUGAAGUAUAUUGAAUUUAUUUAUCAAAUCAAUAUGAAGUUACAAAUUAUUCAAUGAAUGUAAAUUGAAUGCUUAUACCUGGGUUAAAAAUUAAUAAAUUUUAACUGGGAGAUGAAUGUUUAGUCUAAAUGGGAUACAAUUGACACAAACAUAAAAAGAUAAAAAUAAUAGAUGACGUAUGUAAAAAUUAGAUUUAGCAAAAAUAAAAUUAUAUUGGGGAAAAUUUAACUUCGUCUUGGUAACAAAUAUAAGAUUUUUCAAAAUUUGGAAUAAAGUUAUAUAUUCUCCUAUUUUGAAUAGGAGAAUAUAUAACUUUAUCUUGGUAACAACGAUAAGAUUUUCAAAAUUUGAAAGUUCCAAAAAUUUAGGAACAAAGAACCUAUUUUGAGUAGCAGUAUCUUCCCCACUUUCACAAUCAACCAUUUUUUCAUAAAUAAAAGUUUCUACUUGAAGUAUUUAUUUGUAUUAAUUCUGUUAACACUUAGUUGUUUGAAGCCCGUAAAUGGCAAAUUAUCAAGAAAAAAGACCGAAAGAGGGGAGACCAAACACUAAUAGUGUUACGAGAUCAGUUAGCCAAACAAACUGUCAAGGCAUCAAGAUUUCCAGGACAGUAUCCAUCAAGCACACAUGCAAGCACACUAACACCAUCGAUGAUUCUCAGCUCAAUGCGGCGAAGAACAAGAAAGGAAAAUGGUCGAAACUUCGAAGAGAUAUAAGCAAUGUGUUUAAGACCAAUAAUAUGAAGAAACAUUCCACAAUGGCCAAGUCACAGUCAGUGAAGCAAGUCUUGAAGAUUGAAGAAAAUAAUGAGAGGAAGAAACCGGAAGAAGCUGCGUCGAAAAACGGGGUGAAGAUGAGGAGAAUGAGGUCUGUAAAGAUGAAGCAGAGGGAAGGGGAGCCAGAAACCAAGGAGGGCAAUCAAGAACUGUGCAAGAAGAGAAUAUUAAUGGGAGGAAAAUGUAAGCCAUUAAAUGUUUCUGGUGUUCUUCAUUAUGAUCAAAAUGGGAUUUUGUUACCAGAAGAUGUUCUGUAGAGUAUGAUUAUAUGUAUUUUUUGUUUUGUCUAAGCUAUGGAAUAUAAUUUUCUUUACUUUGUUUUAUUUAAUGUAACAUACAUUCUUUAGCAUCUGCAUAUAUAGCUUAAAUAUGCUAAUCAUGCAAAAGCUAUUGAAAGAACAGUCAGAAUCAUGUACAUAAUUGAAUGAAAUUAAUGAUUAUACAAAUAUAAUAAGUAUGAUUUUGCUAUAUUUAUUAUUUAUUAUUCUAAUUAAUAGUGUGAUUAGUUUUUCUAUAAUAUAUUUGGUUUUUUAAUUAAAUUUUUGAAUAUAAUUUCAUUUUGAUAACCAACUAAAAAUAUCAACAAUACCUAACCUUGCAAAAUAGUAAUUAAAUAUAUUUUCAUUUAUCUCGGACUAAUACAAUAUAAUUCGUAUAUGAGAGGUGUAUGCAUCUUACCGAACUUGAACAAAAUCUUAACGAACUGAACAAUGUUCGAUAAUUUUAUCGAACAAAUUUUCUUGUCCGAACUCGAGUUCGGUAUCGAACCGAACCGAACACGAACUGUUCGCGAACAUGUCGAACCGAACCGAACACGAACAGUGUAUAUUUUUAAAUAAUAUUUAGGUUAUUUUUAAAUUAUUUUAAUGAAAAAAAUUAACCAAAGUAUUUUAUUUAUAUAUUUACAACAUAUACAAAAUCAAUUUUAAAUAAAUCUACAAUUAUAAAAUAAUAUUAAUACCUAAUUAUAGAUAUUCUAUAUUAUGUUUAUAUAUAAUAUUAUAAAUAUUUUAUUUAUUGUCGAACGAACACGAACUUCUCGAACUCGAGCCGAACACGAGCUUAACGAACCGAACAUGAACCGAGCAACCUAAAAUUUCGGUUCGGUUCGUUAAGCUUAUCGGACGAAAAAUGUUGUUCGAACUCAUGUUCGGUAAGCUUAUCGGACGAGCUUACCGAACUCGAACACGAACCGAACUGAGCGAACUUACCGAACAGUUUGGUUCGUUUAUAACCCUACAUGAAAUAGAUGAAUAGUUGAAAUUAAUUUAAUAUACUCAUGUGUUAUGAUUAUCUAUAAUGAUAAAAUCAAAUAUUGAUGGACAUGCACAUAUAAAAAUUUAGUUAUAGAAGUUGAUUAGAGUUCAACUACACAUAAUAUUUAUUGUCUCCCUCCAAACCUUUUUAUAAUCUGUUUAUAGAUAUUUAUAUAUCUCAAUUAGUAUAUUUCAAUAAUCUAUCAAUUAUCUGAUAUUUAGUCAGCCUGUCAAUCAACCAUCUAUUGUCAUGUUAUUAUUUUAUCAUAGAAAUUUUUCAAUAUGUAACAUACGGAUUUAUUCUUUAAAAUUUUAUAUGUGAUUAUUUAUUUAAUAGUCAGUUGUUUAAAAUCGACCGAUUUGACUUGUAACUCGCUGAGUACCCACAAGCAGACUUUUUUCCUUGCCAAUUUUAUAUUAUUUGAAUGAUGUCUCGAUUUUGAAUCUAACUCGGAUAAAACUCGACAAAAGUCAAUUCAAAUUCACCAACUUGGAUUAGACAUUAAAAAUCCAAUACAAAAGUGGUUUAAAACUGAAAAGAUUCGACAUAAUGACUCUAAUUAUUUAAGACUUGAAAAAUUUGAUAUAGUAUCAAAAUAUAUAAUAUAAUUUAUCUUAUAUAAUAGAUAUAUUAAUAAUUUAAUCUUCAAAAUCAAUUUAUAAAUGCAUCUAAUUUUUUAUUUGACGAUUAGUGUUUAUUACUAGAUAGACUCACCGAGUCAAAUCAAUAUUUGAUUUUUAGAACACUCACAAGAGAAUUUAAUUAACUUGCUAAUUGAACAUUAUACGUAGUUUCAAGAUAAUCUUUGAAUCAUAAAUCAUGGAUUUAUGAUUUUUUGUGUUGCUCCCACUCUCCUAACACAUGUGAUAGUAAAUUUAAACAUUUGUAUUUUUUUUAUAAUCGGUUAAAUUUAAUAAAUGAGUGAUCAUAAAUAAGUGAAAAGUAAUUAAUAUUAAUAUAGUACAAAUAUCUUAAUUAAUAAUAUUUAAUAUUUUCGUUCAUAUUAAUCUUGUUGCAGUUAAUAAAGGAUAUAAUAGAUAUUUCAUACCCAAUUUGUUUGCUAUUUUGCCUUUAUUGUAAUUUAACAUAUAAUUUAUAAUAUGAAAUUUGGGUGGAUAAGUUUUUUGAUACAAAGGAAAUAGAAAAGGGGACUAGAAAUUGGGGAGGGAGGAAGUAUAAAAUAUUGAUUACAUAAAAUUUGCUUAAUUGAAAGGCGUUGUAUUAUGUAGAUACUAGCUUUUGAUAUAGUUUAAAAAUAGUAUUUUCAAUUUUUUAUAAAUAAUAUAUAUAUAUAUAUAUAUAUAUAUUAUAUUAAUAUAAAAGUUUAUGUGAAAUUCAGGGGAACCGAACCUUAAAUAUUUUAAUUCCUAGGAAAGUAUAAAAAUAUAGUUAAUCCUAAUCCCUACUUUCCGUUUAGAAAGUAAUUAAUAUGGAUAUUUAUUGUAUAAAUAUCUUAAUUAACGAUAUUUGAUAAAUCCGUUCAUAAUAAUUUUGUUGUAAUUAAAUAAGGAUAUAAUAGAUAUUUCAUAUAUACCCAUUGUUAUCUGCUAUUUUGCCUUUAUUGUAAUUUAACAUAUAAUUUAUAAUAUUAAAUUUAUGUGCAUGAGUUUUUUGAUACAAAGGAAAUAGAAAAGGGGACUAGAAAAUGGAGAGGAAGUAUAAAAUAUUGAUUACAUAAAACUUGUUUCAUUUGAAAGGGGGUGUAUUAUGAAGAUACUUCUGGUAUAUUUUAAAAAUAAUAUUAUAUUAUCAUUCAAUUUUUUAUAAAUAAAAUAUAUUAUUAUAUUAAAUUAUUAAUAUAAUAGUUUAUGUGAAAUUCAAGGAAACCGAACGUUAAAUAUUUACAUUCCUACAAAAGCAUAAAAAUAUAAUUGAUCCUAAUCCCUAAUCUCCGUUCAGAAAUAAAAAGUAAAUAUACAAAAGCACUAUAAAAAUAGUUAUACUGCUAUUAAAUUAUACAUGUCAAUUAAUAAAUAAAGUACAUUGAAUGUAUUUAUCAAAUCAAUAUGAAGUUACAAAUUAUUCAAUGAAUAUAAAUAUAAAUUGAAUGCGUUAGCUUAUAUAUAUACGGUGGGUUAAGAAAUAACAAAAUUUUAACCGGGUCAUGAAUGUUUAGUCAAAAUGAGAUAAAACUGACACAAGCACAAAAAUAUAAAAUUAUAGAGGACACAUGUAAAAAAUUGGAUUUAGCAUAAAUAAAAUAAUAUUGGGGUCUUAGUAACAAAGAUAAGAUUUUCAAAUUAGAAAGUGCCAAAAAUUUAGGAACAAAGAAACCAUUUUGUGUAGUAGCCUCUUCCUCACUUUCUCAAUUGGAUAAUAUAUAACUACGUCUUGAAACAAAGAUAAGAUUUUCAAAAUUUGAAAGUGCCAAAAAUUUAGGAACAAAGAACCCAUUUUGAGUAGCAACCUCUUCCCCACUUUCUCACGAUCAACCAUCUUUGCAUAAAUAAAAGUUUCUACUUGAAGUAUUUAUUUGUGUUAAUUCUGUUAAUACUUAGUUGAUCGAAGCCGGUAAAUGGAAAAUUCUCAAGAAAAACUACCGAGAGAGGGGAGACCAAACACUAGUAGUAUUACGAGAUCAGUUAGCCAAAUGACAAAUUCUCAAGAAAAAAGACCCAAAGAGGGGAGACCAAACACUAGUAGUGUUACGAGAUCAGUUAGCCAAACAAACUGUCAAGGCAUCAAGAUUUCUAGGACAGUAUCCAUCAAGCACACAUGCAAGCACACUAACACCAUCGAUGAUUCUCAGCUCAAUGCGGCGAAGAACAAGAAAGGAAAAUGGUCGAAACUUCGAAGAGAUAUAAGCAAUGUGUUCAAGACCAAUAAUAUGAAGAAACAUUCCACAAUGGCCAAGUCACAGUCAGUGAAGCAAGUCUUGAAGAUUGAAGAAAAUAAUGAGAGGAAGAAACCGGAAGAAGCUGCGUCGAAAAACGGGGUGAAGAUGAGGAGAAUGAGGUCUGUAAAGAUGAAGCAGAGGGAAGGGGAGUCAGAAACCAAGGAGGGCAAUCAAGAACUGUGCAAGAAGAGAAUAUUAAUGGGAGGAAAAUGUAAGCCAUUAAAUGUUUCUGGUGUUCUUCAUUAUGAUCAAAAUGGGAUUUUGUUACCAGAAGAUGUUCUGUAGAGUAUGAUUAUAUAUCUUUUUGUUUCGUCUGAUCAGUUAUGGAUUAUAAUUUUCUUACUUUAAUUUUUAAUGGUAUUACUUUGUUUAAUUUGAAGUAACAUUUUAGCUUAAAUAUGUGAAUCAUGCAAAAAUUAACAUAUAAUAUGAUAGAAACACAUGAAAACCUCUGCUAGAAUGUCCAGGGAAAAAAUUACUCAUAAUCAGAAUCCUAACAAAUAACAAGAAAAAAAUUGAAAAAUAAACUACUUGCAAUUGGUAAUAAGUAUUGAGUUAAUAAGUAUUGAGUUAAAUUAUGAUUUUCAUGAUAACAAAAUCCUACAAGACCUAUAAUAAAAUCCUACAAGACCUACACAGUGGUAUUUCUUAAUAUACAUAUUCAACAUUUUCUCAAACAAAAUAAAUACUUGUAUGGCCAUCUAAAACAUCACCAUCACGGGUCAAUUCUAUUAAACCAGUCUCUAAAUGAUCCUCCAAUCCACCACUUUAUGUCCAAACUUACGUGUGAACCGAAUAACUUCCAUAAUAUAUGAUGUAAUCAUUUGAGGUAGUAUUGAAUCUAAAGUAAAAUCAAUCAUCAAAUGAUAGUGAAAGAAUGAUGAUGAAUAACAUCUUUUUAAAAAGAUCAAUCAACAUAUACGUCACACAUUGAGAACCAAUAAUCAUAUAAAAGUUAAUGAUAAGUGAUUCGUCCGUCUCAUGCUCAAUUCUAUUAAACCUCAGUUAUAUGCAUCAAUAUCAUAAGGAUUAAUAUAUUUUUAUUUAGUUAUGUAAAACUUGUGUAUGUGGAGCAGAUUACUAGCUCGACUAGCUAAAAUUAGGCUUUUCAUAGCCACAAUCAGAGUAACUCAUACAAUAGAUAGAAAUAGAUCAGCUAGGCAGACAACUAUUUUGUGUAUAUGAUGCAUAAAUAUAUAUCAUUUGUUAAAAACAUAGCUAAACUUGAAAUAUGUUGGAAGAUUAAAAUAGAAGAUGAUAUUAAGUUGUACAAAUGACUAAAUGGAAGAUGCAUAUAUUAUAUAUCUUUGUAGUUCGACUCGAAUGAAUAAAUUGAUUGACCUAAAUCAAUAAAUUAUGGAAAGAAAGCCUCAAAUCGUAAGCAGUCAUAUGCAAAAUACUGUCCUCAUCAUAACCAAUUUGCGCCAAAUUCUUAAUUAAGAAACCCCGGACAAAAUAACCAAAAGCAAAAUAAACAGCUACAACCAGUUGUGGAACUCUGACGAACUCGAUUCCUGGUGGGCCAAGGCUAGUGUCAUGAUCGAGAGAUAAGGGUUCCUUCUAACACAAAGGGUUGUAAUUAAGGAUCAUAUACAUAAAACCUAAAAUUACCAGAAACUGAAGUAGAAUUGGAUAAAGCAUAAAACUUGACCUUGUAAAGAUAUCGAUAAAGCAAAAAGUUUUCCUUCAUAGAGUUUAAGGCUUCCGCUAACAAUACCUGGUACUAGAACAACAUGAUGGUUUAUAACCGUACCUUCACGCUUAAGCUGUGCCCCGGAAAUUUCAGGUACUUGAAGUCUACCAUAACCAAGAUGAUGUGGAAGAUCCAACUGAUUUUGAACUACUGACGCUGAGCUAUCAUAACAGAGCUAUGAAAACUAUCAUGACGGGUCUAUCAACUACUGAAAUUGAUAAAGUCUCUUCAUGAACUAUAGCUCAGUAAAUGUGAACAUAUUGAAAAGAUAUCAUAAAGGUUCAAAGCCUCU
rnacentral:lncRNA from 1 species